CCUACGGGAGACAGCAGUGGGGAAUAUUGCACAAUGGGGGGAACCCUGAUGCAGCAACGCCGCGUGGGUGAAGAAGUACUUCGGUAUGUAAAGCCCUGUCAGCAGGGAAGAAAAUGACGGUACCUGACCAAGAAGCCCCGGCUAACUACGUGCCAGCAGCCGCGGUAAUACGUAGGGGGCAAGCGUUAUCCGGAUUUACUGGGUGUAAAGGGAGCGUAGACGGCAAGGCAAGUCUGGAGUGAAAGCCCGUGGCUCAACCACGGGACUGCUUUGGAAACUGUGUUGCUGGAGUGCAGGAGGGGUAAGCGGAAUUCCUAGUGUAGCGGUGAAAUGCGUAGAUAUUAGGAGGAACACCGGUGGCGAAGGCGGCUUACUGGACUGUAACUGACGUGGAGGAUCGAAGGCGUGGGGAGCAAACAGGAUUAGAUACCCUUGUAGUA
rnacentral:rRNA from 1 species